GAUGAACGCUAGCUACAGGCUUAACACAUGCAAGUCGAGGGGCAGCGCAGUGUAGCAAUACAUGGGCGGCGACCGGCGCACGGGUGCGUAACGCGUAUCCAACCUUCCCGUUACUCAGGGAUAGCCUUCCGAAAGGGAGAUUAAUACCUGAUGGUGUUCAAAUUCCGCAUGUUAUUUGAACUAAAGAUUUAUCGGUAACGGAUGGGGAUGCGUGACAUUAGGUAGUAGGCGGGGUAACGGCCCACCUAGCCAACGAUGAAUAGGGGUUCUGAGAGGAAGGUCCCCCACACUGGAACUGAGACACGGUCCAGACUCCUACGGGAGGCAGCAGUGAGGAAUAUUGGUCAAUGGGCGCGAGCCUGAACCAGCCAAGUAGCGUGAAGGAUGACUGCCCUACGGGUUGUAAACUUCUUUUGUUUGGGAAUAAAAGACGCUACGUGUAGCGUUCUGCAUGUACCUUACGAAUAAGCAUCGGCUAAUUCCGUG
rnacentral:rRNA from 1 species